AGAAGUACUGUUCUGUUACUGUCCAUUUGAUUCAAGGAAAUGAUCACCGCCUUUGCAAAUUAUUUACUUAUAGCAACUUAUAAUGAUUUUUGAAUAUCGCUUAAUAAUCCUGCUUGCCCUGACUGUUCUGUGGAAGCUUACCAAGGGCUACUGCUACUGUGUUCAUCAAAACAAAGCAGUUUUCUGUGGAAACUUAGCAAGAAUUACUAUGUUCGGCAAAAAUGUUUCUUGUCCUUGGAA